GACGAACGCUGGCGGCGUGCUUAACACAUGCAAGUCGAGCGGUAAGGCCCUUUCGGGGUACGACGAGCGGCGAACGGGUGAGUAACACGUGGGUGACCUGCCCUUACGCUCUGGGAUAAGCCUGGGAAACUGGGUCUAAUACCGGAUAUGACUCCAUAACGCAUGUUGUGGGGUGGAAAGCCUUGUGCGGCUAGGGAUGGGCCCGCGGCCUAUCAGCUUGUUGGUGGGGUGAUGGCCACCAAGGCGACGACGGGUAGCCGGCCUGAGAGGGCGACCGGCCACACUGGGACUGAGACACGGCCCAGACUCCUACGGGAGGCAGCAGUGGGGAAUCUUGCGCAAUGGGCGAAAGCCUGACGCAGCGACGCCGCGUGGGGAU
rnacentral:rRNA from 1 species